rnacentral:lncRNA from 1 species
GCGUUAACUUCUAUGCCACAUCACCAUCUGACAUGGAUCUGACAUGGCAGCCUGUGUAGUAAUCAGCCCAUCUAAGUUUUGGCCCACUAAAUUCCAGCCCUGUCCAAGAGUGGCGGCCCAUAUAGCAAUCGACCCAAUUAUAAUUUAAGCCCAUUAAUUUCAAGGCCCACUAAAAUUCACACAUCUCUCAUUUUCCAUGGAAAAUUUACGCCAAUAAGAAUUUGACAGAAAGUAUAUGCUCAUGUCAUUAGAAAAAGAAAAUUACAACAACAGAUCCAAAAAUACACUUGUACAGGAGCGGAAAAAAAGACCCAAAAACCUUAAUUUUACAAGCAUGUCCCGAAGAACACUAUCCUACUCUACUACCAGCACCACGCCCACCAAGCGAUGGCCACUCUUAUCAGGCGGCCACACACCAACUAGGGGUCUUCCAAGCAGCAGAUCCACCCGUCCAUGCCAAAGUUGUCAAAACGCAGUCUUUCUUGUUGAAAAUGCUGCCAUAACCAAUAUCUGCCACAUGAUGAAAAAUAUGUUGCGUUAUAAAAAAUUACAGCCAGUAGGUUAAACUACAAGUAGCUUACUACACAUUAUCAAGUUCUAUAUGUUUUCACUCCCAGGAUGCAAAGUAGUGCAACAGAUUAACAAAGGUGUGAGAAGAAACAACUGGUGGCAACAAAAAGAAAUGAUGAGCAUACAUAGAUCAAUAGAGUUGGAAGUAAACUCCGUUUUGCUUAUUUUAAAAAAUCACUACAGUAAACUUGAUAAGAAAUGCAGCCCAGCUGAAUAAUGCGCAUUAAUGAAAAUUCCUAGCGAUUGUUUCUCAAAAGGUAAAAAAGAAUGAAACAAUUCCAUGAUGAUUAUGUCUUGAUGGAAUAUGUGUCCUAUCUGAUAUGAUAUUCCACAAGAAAAAGAUCUGGCAUAUGUGGCUUACGAUUAAUCUAGAUGAAAAUACAUUUGUAAGAUACUCCUAUAGAUAAAAAUAGUCCAACUACAGAUACAACAGAUAUUGUGUAGAAGACAUAAAGGAUUGGAUCAAGUAGAAGUCAGUUUUUGUAUGUAUUAUUACACAUAUAAAAAUAGUAACUAUAGAUACAACAAAUAUUAUGUAGUAUCACACUUCAAUAUAUUACGGGCAUUACCUGCCCUUACAUAUUUAGCUAAAAAGGCAUAAAAAGUUAGUAUAACACAUUCUGAUUGUAUAGCAUUCAAUAUUAAUACUUCGUUCCCAAACCAUCAAAUGCUUGGUACACUCAUUAAUUAACAUUAAUACAAACAGUUUUGAUCAUUAUAAAUUUAUAGUUCACCAUAUCUAAGAUUAACUUUGGCAUGUUAGUCCAAGGAGAUCAUCUAGGGAUUCAAUACAGUGACACAUGAAUUCUAGGAACUACACAAUUAGGAUGAUAUGUCAUAUCUCAACUAAAUAAUGCACACUUCACAAUGCUAGCUAGUUAUUUGCACAAUAUUUCAAGUGUCUUCUAUUGAGUGAAUCUGUGAGGUAACAUAGAAACAGUUGCUGGUGACAUUAAAAGAUAACUCUAAGUGAAGACAAUGUAAUUACAGUAAAACAUUGUUUCCCCCUCCAUACUAUCUGUUAUUGGUAGUAAUCUCAUUCAAAAUGGAUUGAACAGAAAAAGGAAGUUAAUCAAGCCACAAAGAAGAUAAUUUUUGGCAUCCAAGCAAAAAGAUAUAUGCAAUACACAACGACUAGCAAUUUUUUAGUUCUAGCCUACUUAUCACGUAGUACAUUUUUUCAAUUUUCAAUAAGAAAAUACUAUUACAGUGACCUACAUAUAUUUGUAAUAUAAUCUGACCUACAUAUAUGAAUGUUUUAGCAUCUCUCAGUUCUUUUUAAUUCACACACCAGGCUAAACAUCCAGUUAGCCAUACUUCUACCUUAUCUUACCAGGCUAAAGAUCAUCAUCAACUCUGGAGCUAUUCCAGUGGCAUUAAAAGGAUGUUUUUGGGCAUCAUGAGAGAAGAUUAAUUCCAAUUUUGCAAGUCUCGACACUUGAACUGACAGAAAUUUCACAUCAACAUAACCACAGACACGGCUAACUACAAUUUAUAAAUCAAUGCAAGUUAAACAUGUCAAAACUAAGUUGAAAUCCACAUAUAUUAUUUUCCUUUUAAUAGGUGUAUAUCUAAGAAAUCAGACAUACUAACACAUGUAUGUUGCGCUACAUAUAUACGAUUACUUAGAAUGAUACAUAAUCCAGAUAAACGGCUUGCAUAUUCUGACAAUGUGUGUGGUUUCUUAAUAUUUACGCAUUUUUAUGACAUCCAAAUUUAUAGUUAUUUCCAGUUAAUAAUUAGACAGUUUUUCAGGUAAAUAAUUAGGUUCUUUCUCAAGUACUACAUACACGCAUCUGCAAAACAAGUCGAUUCUGGCAAGAUACAGAGUCACAGCUGAAUUUAUAUCUAACAGGUUGAAGUUACCAAAUUAACUCCCAAAAGAUCUGUACCAAAGCAACAUGAAGACCGGUGCAUCUUAGAAUUUUUUAGCUAUAUCAUACUAUGGAUUAGCAUUAGCUUGCACUGAUUAAAUUAUGUGUAACAGUGCAAGAGAACCAGAUCCACAAAAGCAUCAGCAACUAACCAAGCUCACAUGUUCAUCUAAGCAAUUGAAUCCACCACUAAACUGAACAAAAACAUGAUUCGUAUUUAGAUUGCAGGUAUCAUCCAGAUUUGGGCGUAAAGGGGGGAGAUGGGAUAAGCUCACCACGCUAGGAGGGCAGAACGCAACCGUCGGUGAGCUCGUUCAUGUGGUGCAGGAUAGGAGGCCAAGGGGGUGCUGGACAAGCUGCUUCACCUCCUCCGGAGGAGAGAGCUCAUUGGGAACAGCCGCGUCAAGGAGGAGGACGUCCUGUACACCAUUGGAUGGGUGGAGAAGGCAGUAGUCAUUAGUAGGACAGAAAUCAACCCUAAUAAAUAGUACAGCCAAGUACACCAAGUAACGAAAAGACAUCAUUUUGUUGCUUCGUAUGUUAUCUCCAGUGCUUCAAAUUAUUCAGCGAAGUCUUGUGCAUGUUUGUGUUACCUGUAAUUGCUGAGUGCUGGUUGUAGAACAGGUCCUGUGUCUAUAUCAUAUAUGUUACUUUUUAUCUUUAUAUCCAGCUGAAACUAUAUAUGGUUCAGAAUUCCCACCUUCAAGUUCUCUUCUCCUAUGUGUGUAUUAAGAUUGUGUAGGCUACAGCUGUAACCUCGGAUAAAUAUCAACUACUCUGUACUGCAGGCUGCAGCUAUGAUUUUAUUGCCAAUUAAUUGGUAAGUUUUUCUCUAAAUAUAAUUGGCAUUAGCAUUUCUUCAGGAUCCAUUCUAUUUGACAGUUUGAUCCCUUAUUUAUACAAUCGAUAGAGUUAAUUGAAUAAGUAAAUCUUUGAACACUCUUCUAACAAUAUAGAUUUUCUAAGAAAGAAUGAUUUGUAUAUGAUAAUAUAGAUUCUUUGAACACGCUCACAGUAUUUGAUUAUUGUUUCGCCCUUUGGUGUACAUAUUUUGUAGUGACAACACCAGAAUUGGUAUGCUCUUGCCUGAGCUUAUAAUUCAGGGCUACUGAAAAUCAUGAUUACCAAUGAUCAACACACGUGUGUAUAGAUGCAAAUAUUAUAUGCAUCUAGCAGGGCAACGCCCAACACCCAGCAAAAAGGCGCAACAGACCCACGAACAACUAAACAAACGGAUUGUUAACCUGGAAAAAGAGCGGCGCAGCGAAGCAGGCAGCCCGCUUCUGGUAAAAGAUUAAAUUGCAUAUUUGACAGCACAAGCAGCAAUUUGUCCCCAAAAUUAAAAACAAGAUGACCACUACAGGCUAACCACAUCUAGCACAAGCAAUUUGUCCCAUCAAAUUGUUUACUCCAGGCAAUAUAGGCACGGCAGCACAACCUUACCUGACGCCAUGAAGAUUGUUCAGGGGAAGGGCGUGCUUCUGCUGUACCAGUGCUCCUCCUUGAAGGUCGAGAAUGAGGAGCAGCACCGGCGUUCGCCGCGAUCGUCAUCGAGCAGGACAAGGACACAGUGUCCGCCCUCCUCCCGGACAGGCGGCUGCAGGGUGCGCCACGUCUGUGGAUCCUGCGGGAGGAGAUCCUCCGCGCCGCCCUGCUCGAGGUAGAACAUCAGAAGGCGAGGGCGCACGUGGGGGCGCUAAAGACGGUGGAGAAGAGCCGCCAGAGGCCGUCGGACAUGCGCCAAUAACGAAGGCGAUGAGAGAGGCCGAAACCCUAGCACGGGUGUGGGAUUUGGGCGAGCGGUAGAGGCCGGGAAGGGAAAAUCUUGCCAGGGGGGAGGAUGGAGCCGAAAGAGCCGACCUCGGCGGUGUGCACCGCGCCGGCGAUAGCUGCCAGAAUCGCCGGAAUCAGGAGUGGGCAGUUGUGGCGGCUGAGGGAACGGAGGAGAGAAUGGGGAUUAGGGUUAGAUGGGGAUGGAUCGUGGGUUAGAUAGGCUGGCUCCAAAAUUUUGCCACGGGCCGCGUCCGCGACUUAAAAUUUCGCAUUGCCCGUGCGUUGCAACGGGGCAUAAAUAUUUUAAUGAUAAACAACAAUCUUAUGAACAAAUACUACCUUCUAAUUUCUCAUGCACAUCAAGCAGCAUCGAAGCAUACACCUCCGUGAAAGCUCUUUGGACAAACCCACAUACAUGCAACAUCAAAGUUAGAAUGAAUAGUGAAUCAAUUAUGACACAAACAC